UACAGAGGGUGCAAGCGUUAAUCGGAAUUACUGGGCGUAAAGCGUGCGUAGGUGGUUUGUUAAGUCUGAUGUGAAAGCCCUGGGCUCAACCUGGGAAUUGCAUUGGAUACUGGCAGGCUAGAGUGCGGUAGAGGAUGGCGGAAUUCCCGGUGUAGCAGUGAAAUGCGUAGAGAUCGGGAGGAACAUCUGUGGCGAAGGCGGCCAUCUGGACCAGCACUGACACUGAGGCACGAAAGCGUGGGGAGCAAACAGGG
rnacentral:rRNA from 1 species